AGGUUACUGCUAUCGGUGUUCGCCUAAGCCAUGCGAGUCGUAUGUUCGUAAGAACAUGGCGUACUGCUCAGUAACACGUGGAUAACCUGCCCUUGGGUCCGGCAUAACCCCGGGAAACUGGGGAUAAUUCCGGAUAACGCACAUAUGCUGGAAUGCUUUUUGCGUAAAAUGGAUUCGUCUGCCCAAGGAUGGGUCUGCGGCCUAUCAGGUAGUAGUGGGUGUAAUGUACCUACUAGCCUACGACGGGUACGGGUUGUGAGAGCAAGAGCCCGGAGAUGGAUUCUGAGACAUGAAUCCAGGCCCUACGGGGCGCAGCAGGCGCGAAAACUUUACAAUGCGGGAAACCGUGAUAAGGGGACACCGAGUGCCAGCAUCCUAUGCUGGCUGUCCGGGUGUGUAAAAUACACCUGUUAGCAAGGGCCGGGCAAGACCGGUGCCAGCCGCCGCGGUAACACCGGCGGCCCGAGUGGUGAUCGUGAUUAUUGGGUCUAAAGGGUCCGUAGCCGGUUUGGUCAGUCCUCCGGGAAAUCUGACAGCUCAACUGUUAGGCUAUCGGAGGAUACUGCCAGACUUGGAACCGGGAGAGGUAAGAGGUACUACAGGGGUAGGAGUGAAAUCUUGUAAUCCCUGUGGGACCACCUGUGGCGAAGGCGUCUUACCAGAACGGGUUCGACGGUGAGGGACGAAAGCUGGGGGCACGAACCGGAUUAGAUACCCGGGUAGUCCCAGCCGUAAACGAUGCUCGCUAGGUGUCAGGCAUGGCGCGACCGUGUCUGGUGCCGCAGGGAAGCCGUGAAGCGAGCCACCUGGGAAGUACGGCCGCAAGGCUGAAACUUAA
rnacentral:rRNA from 1 species